UACAGAGGUCUCAAGCGUUGUUCGGAUUCAUUGGGCGUAAAGGGUGCGUAGGUGGCGCUGUAAGUCGGGUGUGAAAUUUCGGAGCUUAACUCCGAAACUGCAUUCGAUACUGCGGUGCUUGAGGACUGGAGAGGAGACUGGAAUUCAUGGUGUAGCGGUGAAAUGCGCAGAUAUCAGGAGGAACACCGGUGGCGAAGGCGGGUCUCUGGGCCGAUACUGACGCUGAGGAGCGAAAGCGUGGGGAGCGAACAGG
rnacentral:rRNA from 1 species